AGAGUUUGAUCCUGGCUCAGAUUGAACGCUGGCGGCAGGCCUAACACAUGCAAGUCGAGCGGAAACGAGUUAUCUGAACCUUCGGGGAACGAUAACGGCGUCGAGCGGCGGACGGGUGAGUAAUGCCUAGGAAAUUGCCCUGAUGUGGGGGAUAACCAUUGGAAACGAUGGCUAAUACCGCAUGAUGCCUAUGGGCCAAAGAGGGGGACCUUCGGGCCUCUCGCGUCAGGAUAUGCCUAGGUGGGAUUAGCUAGUUGGUGAGGUAAGGGCUCACCAAGGCGACGAUCCCUAGCUGGUCUGAGAGGAUGAUCAGCCACACUGGAACUGAGACACGGUCCAGACUCCUACGGGAGGCAGCAGUGGGGAAUAUUGCACAAUGGGCGCAAGCCUGAUGCAGCCAUGCCGCGUGUAUGAAGAAGGCCUUCGGGUUGUAAAGUACUUUCAGUCGUGAGGAAGGCGGCGUCGUUAAUAGCGGCGUUGUUUGACGUUAGCGACAGAAGAAGCACCGGCUAACUCCGUGCCAGCAGCCGCGGUAAUACGGAGGGUGCGAGCGUUAAUCGGAAUUACUGGGCGUAAAGCGCAUGCAGGUGGUUUGUUAAGUCAGAUGUGAAAGCCCGGGGCUCAACCUCGGAAUAGCAUUUGAAACUGGCAGACUAGAGUACUGUAGAGGGGGGUAGAAUUUCAGGUGUAGCGGUGAAAUGCGUAGAGAUCUGAAGGAAUACCGGUGGCGAAGGCGGCCCCCUGGACAGAUACUGACACUCAGAUGCGAAAGCG
rnacentral:rRNA from 1 species